UGUCUCAUUUGAAAACAAAUACAGUGAAAAUUUAAUCUUGUUACACUGACACGAUGGGUGACUGGGUCUGGUCGGGUGACCCCGUGGGUUCGGUUAUGGGUCUAACCUCAGAUCCAUGGGUAGUGUUGUGGGCAAGGGAUCCACACGAUUGUUAUUCAGGCAUGGGUUUGGUUGAGGUUGACCUGACCAAACCCGACCCGAUUGCCACCUUGAGACCUGAUGAUGAGUCCUAGGCGCAACUGCCGCCUGACGGUCGCCCGGCUGGUUUGUCGAUCUAUGGCCCUUUCAAUUUUAUCUGUGAUGCCCGGUUGGUUUGUCGAUCUAUGGCCCUUUUAAUUUUAUCUGUGAUGCUCUUCUGCGUCUUAUUGAUCAAUCGAGAUAAGCCCUAGGAUAAGUACAUCUUUUCUAGUUUCAGUUUUAAUUUUCAAAUUGUUGUUCCUUCUAUAUUUCUGAGUUAGGAAUUGGGCGAGUUUUAUUUAAAAUAUCAACCUUGUGUACAAUAUACCAAUUGAUAACUAGGUUAACUGAUUCUAGCUUCAUGGAAUAAUUUGUACAAAAUAAGUUUGAGUAUGUGAGAGAGGAAUAAAUCUGUAGGUAGUAUCUGCCUUCAGUAUGAUAUUUUAUUUAAUGUCUCAACCUUUUGACAUUGGCAGGGGAGCUAAAGGAGGGUUUUCCUAUGUUUGUUGUAAAAUCUACAAUUUGCAACAUGUCUCAGUUAAUUGAUCUGAACAAGCUUCCUUGGGAUCUAUCUAAAAGUUGCCGGCUAGAAAUUUUAUUCAAGAAGAUUACGAACAACAUAUUGCUGGUUAAAUGGUUAGUCUACUUUUACUCUUGCAAUAAAGUUUUCAUAAUUAUGUGUAUGAUGAAAUUAUACUACAACGAAAUAUAUGAUUUUGCUUAUUAUUCCUCCCUAUAUGUAUGCUUGUGUAGUUGUGUGGCUAGUUUGUGUAAAUAGUGUAACCAUUAGUGUCUAUAGAUCUUCCCGUAAAAAUAUAUACUACACAUCUUUGCCCCUUCUCAGUUUUCGUCCUGGGUCCGCCCCUGACGAGGGCUCAGCCCACUUGAUUUGCUCUUUAAUGCACCUACUAUACAAGUGCUCCGCCUCUCGAGCAAUUGUACUGGUGUAAAACAACGACGGUUAGCUCUUUCAUCUUGUUCCCAUGAAUCCAAAAAUAAUAGAUUAUCCAGAAGAAAUGAAAAAUAUUAUAAUUAGUAAAUUAUUACAACAAAAAAGAAUAAAUAACAAUAGGAUCUUGAAAAUUGAACCUCAACCUAAGUAAAUUAUAUAAAUGCAGAUCCUCUCCCACUCCUCACAUUUGUUAACAAACGAAUUCGGAAUUUACAGUACCAACCCAAUAAUUUGAUUCCAAAAGCACUACAUCGUCCUACACUGUUGGCUAAGCUGCCUGCUUGGUCUCGAGAUACUGACUUUCACAAAAUGACGGGAUCCAUAAUUAAGAAGAUAUCAUGCAGAAGAGAUACUUUGGUAGAGCCAACAUUAGUAGCAUCAACUGGACAACCGAACCUUCUUUCCAUUGAUCCUAUGGUACAACAUAUUGUUAACAUUAAGGUUCAUUAAGAACAAUAGGUGUCAACAAAGAACUAACAAUAUGUCUGGUACUCUUUUAGGAUGUUUCUCAAAGAAUAUUAAAAUAGGUAAGAUAUUGAUCUUACAAUUUUCAUUCUCUACAUUAAGGUUCCUAAUGGUAUACUCGUACAAGUUCUCACAAAGUUCCACAAGCACACUACCAAAUUAAUGGGCCAACUGCGCGUCCAACAACAUCCUCCACCAUCGCGAUGACGGGUGACAACGACUUCUCCUGACCGAAUCCCUUGGAAGGAGCUGCUGAUGGCGUCGUUCUCAUGACGCCGCUACUGGCAUGGUUCCUCUAAGACGUGUUUGGCGCCGAGGCUUCCAUGCAGCGUGGGAGUACUUGAGACGAUGGUGUACCACGGAUGGCUUCUAGUAUGGCAGGGAUGGGAAGCGGACAAUGCCAGAUCCCGAUGUGCCGGUGUUCCGGCAACGAUGUGGACGACGGGUUCCCUUUGGUGACUACCUUGGUCUGUUGCGGUCGAUUCGCCACAUCGGCGGGGUCCAAACGGCGGCAGGUAGACACACCGACCUCAUUCCCGAAUACCCAGCGAGCUGCGGCAUGGUUCAGGCCCUCUCCUAGGCCCUCUCCUCCAGUGCGACACACCUUGGGCAGGGGUGUGGUGCCUCGCGAUGUUGGAGUGCACGCACAUCCUAUGAAGGCAGUGCGGCGGCCUGCUUUUGUGGUUGAUAAUGGUGGUUGUUGCCAAAUCAUGUUGUGCGAGAGCUUUGGUAGAGGAUUAGCUACACAUUGCUUAUUGCCAUAUAUUGUUUAUAUGACUGCCACUUGCCAUAAGAUUUACCUGAUGAUUGCCAAUUGCCUAAAAUAGGUUCCCGUAGUAUCCCUAAAAUCAGCUCCGAAACAGAUUGGUUUCUCGUUUCUUGUUCGUAGGCCAUGCACGUGUAUCCCUCAUAUUGCGUUGCGUCGAACUAAUCCACGCAUAAUGCUUGGUUUCUAACUAUGGCCAAACCCAUGAAAAGAAAAUUAAGAUGUUGUAGUUAAUUCAUAUGCUACAAGAAAGGAGGAGGCGUGGAAGGAGGAGCGGUUUGGCAAGUUCAGAUUGGGAACGGGAUGUGAAUCCCACCCUGCGCCUUACUUAAUGAAAAAAUGGAGAAAAAUGCAGCAAUCGACAGAACGAGGGGUGGGGUACGAAGCGGCGAUACUACCUACCAACUCCCCAACUAGGAUUGGAGAAACAUAUGUAAAUAAAAUUAAAAGAAGCAUAUGAAAAUCUCAAAUUCUAAAUGGCGCUUACGGGAAGUUCAUGAGGCCAAUCUCGAGGAAAGGGACGUGGCAUCUAUUUAUUUAAUCUCACUAAUGUUGCAUCUUACCAUCGUAUGCAAGAAUAGCAACAACAUCUGCAAAAAUUUAAUUACAAUGAGACACCGAGUUGUAUAAAGUAAUAUGCAAGAACAAAGUUAAAGAUGAUGCAGAGGUGGUGCUUUUGUCCCGUAGUGAGAAUAUGACCCCAAACUGUGGGAAGCACAGUGGACAAAUUGUCGAUUCUAUCCUGUGUCGAUUCUAACCUCGGUCCUAACAUUUAGUGUGAUGACAAACUCCAUGGCUAGAUAUCAGAAAUGUCCAUCUAGUAUUUCCGUGGGGUUGAACCCGACGCGGGUGAAGUCAUAUUUCAUGCUGGUUUGUAGCAUGGUAUUGAAGCGAAAUGUUUGGUUGUUGUAUGCGAUCGCUUCCAUUUGUGUUCCCUAAUAUAAUUUUAUGAAUCAUAACAAUAAUCAGAGAACAAAAUUGUUUAUCAAAUGUGUGUGUUAAAAACAUGUUGUAAGUAGUGAUGAGUAAUGCCUUACAUCUUGAUCCAGUAGUGUACACACUGAAGGUAUCCCACAUUCUCCUUCAUUUGGGCCUUACACAAUACCCUAGCAUGAAUGGUUCAACAAUUCUGAUAUAUAUGCUCUAUCUGCACGCUUUGAAAAGUCAAGUUUCUGUCCAUAGAAUGAAUGGAUGAGGUAAAUAAUUGAGCGGUGAUGGCAAACUACUGUAUAGGCUGAUCUAUUUAUUUUGCAUGUUCAUCGGAGGGAUGGUAGGUCGAGGGAUGACAGGAACCGGCAGCGAUGCCAUCACCUUCUUAGAGGUCAAUCUGUAUGAGAUUACCAUGGGUGUGUAGGAGAUGGCUGAGCCUAUGUAGAAAGAUGGAGACAUGUAUGGUGGUGCAGGACAUUUUUAUAUGCAUAGUGGGCGGCGGAAAAAUCAAAUAACUUUAAAAAAAUGGUUUUGGUGGUCUAUGUGCCCGUGGGUGAAAAUUCUCUCUCAUACGACUCACUUAUUGAGCGAUCGCAGUAGUCAUUUGAUCAAUCUUUAGCAACCUAAUAAACAUUGUUUAUUAUUUUUAGUAUCCAGACAAAUUCGUAUCUCCCUAUAAUCAAGGCCAACAUCCCUCAACGAGCAUGUUUUCCAUUUGACCAACAAAAAUUCGAAUCUCACUGAAACCAUGCUCAUUGAGGGAUACUGGCCUUGAUUACAGGGAGAUAUGAAUUUGUUUGGUUACUAAAGAUAAUAAACAAUGUUUGUUAGGUUGUCAAAGAUUGAUCAAAUAACUACCGCGAUCGCUCAAGGAGUGGGGGUCGUACGAGAGAGAUUUUUCACCCACGAGCACCUAUACCGCCAAAACCAAAAUUUGAAAGUUAUUUGGUUUUCCCGCUACCCACUAUGCUUAUAAAAAUGCCCCGCACCACCAUCUAUGUCUCUAUCUUAGGCUCAGCCAUCUCCUCCACGGCCAUGGUAACCUCAUAUAGAUUGACGACAUCUAAGAGGGUGAUGGCAUUGCCGCCGGUUCCUGUCAUCCCUUGACCUAUCAUCCCUCCGAUGAACAGGCAAGAUAGAUGAAUCAGCCUAUACGGCAGUUGGCCAUCACCGCUUAAUUAUUUACCUCAUCCAUUCAUUCUAUCCUAUGCACAGGAACUUGACUUUUCAGAGCGUCCAGAUGGAGCAUAUCUAUCAGAAUUGUUGGACCAUUCAUACUAGGGUCUUGUGGAAGGCCAAUGGAGAACAUUUACCUUAGUGUAUACUACUGGAUCAGGAUGUAAGACAUUACUCAUUACUACUUACUACUUACAACACGUUUUUUAAUAUACACAUUUGAUGAACAGUUUUGUUCUCGGAUUUUUUUAUGAUUUAUAAAAAAUAUUAGGGAACAAAAAUGAAAGCGAUCGCAUACAACAACCAAGCGUUUUGCUUCAACACCAUGCUAUAAACCGGCAUAACACAUGACUUCACUCGUGUCGGGUUCAACCCCACGGAGAUACCAUAUGGACAUUUCUGGUAUCUAGCCAUGGAGUUUGUCAUCACACUAAAUGCUAGAACCGAGGUUAGGAUGUCGGUGCACAGGAUAACAUCGACAAUUUGUCCAUCGUGCUUCCCACAAUUUGGGGCCAUAUUCUCGCUACGGGACAAAAGCAUCAUUGGUGCAUCAUCUUUAACUUUGUUCUUCCAUAUUACUCCAUACAACCCAGUGUCUCAUUCUGAUUAAAUUUUUGUAGAUGUUGUUGCUAUUCUUGCCUAUGUUGGUAAGAUACAACAUCAGUGGGAUUCAAUAUAUAGACGCCACAUCCUUUUCCUUGAGAUUGGCCUCAUGAACUUUCGGUAAGUUUGAGGAGAUGGCUAAGUUUUAAAAAAGUUAAAAUAACAAGAAAGUUGAUUCGUGAUUGCAAAACUAUGUGGAACUCAACUUUCAUGAUGCUAGAAGCAGCUUUACCAUACAGAGUUGAUUUUGAACGUGCAAAUCAUGUUGAGAAACAAUAUGAGCAUUUACCUAGUGCCAAAGAAUGGGAGUUUGCUGCAGAGAUGUUGGAGAGACUUGGAUUAUUCGAUGAGAUAACUAAGUUGUUCUCUGGAAGUGAUUAUGUGACUUCUAAUGUUUACUUCCCUAAAAUCUAUGAGAUUAAAAUGAAAACGAGACAGUGGGCCAUUUCUAGCAAUUCAGUUAUAAAAAAACUCUCUGAGGAAAUGAAUACUAAAUUUGACAAGUAUUGGAAGGACAUUCAAGAUCUGAUGGGGAUGGCUACACUUCUUGAUCCUCGUUACAAGAGGCAUAUGUUGAUAGCUUGCUUUGCCAUGCUCCAUGGAAUUGAGCCAUCUUCUUAUGACAAUGUGUGGAUUUGGUUGAUGCAUUAGUUGCUAGACUGCAUUCAUUCAUAAAGGAGUGAAGUGGAAGUAGAUGAAUAUAAACCAUGUGAAGAACUGAUUUCUUCAGUGAAAGCUCCAGCCAUCAUGAACAUCUUCAAUGACAUCAAGGUGAAAUAGAUAUGUACUUGACAGAUGGCCUAGUGCCAUACACAGAAGUAUUUAGUGUGUUGGAUUAGUGGAACGUAGCUAGAACAAGAUAUCCAACAUUAAGGAAGGUCGCCAGAGAUAUUUUUGCUAUUCCCGUGACAACAGUUGCUUCAGAGUCGGCCUUUAGUACAAGUGGCAGAAUACUUAGUGAGCAUAGGAGCCGCCUAACUCCUAAUAUGGUGGAAGUUUUGAUGUGCUCCCAAGAUUGGCUUAGAAACAAACAAAAAGAUGCUCAUAAAGGAGAUGCAAUUUUGAACUUACCUUCAAGACAUUCAAGAGGGGAUGCCGGUUGGUACUCACCAACACAUUUCCUUUGCCAAUUGAGUAUUUGACUGUACCUUCUACAAGUGACAACAGUUGCUUCAGAGUCGGUCUUUAGUACAAGUGGCAGAAUACUUAGUGAGCAUAGGAGCCGCCUAACUCCUAAUAUGGUGGAAGUUUUGAUGUGCUCCCAAGAUUGGCUUAGAAACAAACAAAAAGAUGCUCAUAAAGGAGAUGCAAUUUUGAACUUACCUUCAAGACAUUCAAGAGGGGAUGCCGGACUUUUGCCCUUUGAGACGUAGAGACAUGGUCUUGUCGAGUUAUGCUCGAGACUGAAGACUUAUUGCGCUACGGUCUUCGUUAUGCUACCGCUGGAUUGCUCGAGUUUAUUUUAGUUGAGCUUGCUACAGUGUCGAAACUUUAUUGUGAUGCUUAAUUUGUGGCCUUAUGUAUGGUCAAAUUGCCUUCAUACUUUGUCGUGAGUUUGUGAACUUAAAAUAAAUGAUUAUGCAUUGCUGUUUAUGAGUGUGUUGCUGUUUUUAUGUGUUGUUGUCUAUGAGUGAGUGCUGCUAUUUA